rnacentral:rRNA from 1 species
GUCCUAGCAGUAAACGGUGCAUGUUUGGUGUGGGCGGAUUCGACUCCUCCCGUGCCGAAGCUAACGCGAUAAACAUGCCGCCUGGGAAGUACGAUCGCAAGAUUAAAACUCAAAGAAAUUGACGGGGCCCGCACAAGCGGUGGAGUAUGUGGCUUAAUUCGAUGCAACGCGAAGAACCUUACCAGGCCUUGACAUGCAUUGCUAAUUUAGUGAAAGCUAAAGACGGUAGCAAUACCGACCUUGCACAGGUGCUGCAUGGCUGUCGU